rnacentral:rRNA from 1 species
GUGCAUGAAGUUGGAAUCGCUAGUAAUCGCAGAUCAGCAUGCUGCGGUGAAUACGUUCCCGGGCCUUGUACACACCGCCCGUCACACCAUGGGAGUUGGUUUUACCCGAAGGUAGUGCGCUAACCGCAAGGAGGCAGCUAACCACGGUAGGGUCAGCGACUGGGGUGAAGUCGUAACAAGGUAGCCGUAGGGGAACCUGCGGCUGGAUCACCUCCUUU